rnacentral:rRNA from 1 species
GUGCACCAGUCGCGAAAACUCCGCAAUACGCGAAAGCGUGACGGGGCCAUCCCGAGUGCCGUCCGCUGAGGAUGGCUUUCCCACAGUCUAAAAAGCUGUGGGAAUAAGGGGAGGGUAAGUCUGGUGUCAGCCGCCGCGGUAAUACCAGCUCCCCGAGUGGUUGGGACGAUUAUUGGGUCUGAAGCGUCCGUAGCCGGCCGGAAAAGUUCCCCGUUAAAUCUGGCGAUCCAAUCGUUGGGCUGCGGGGAAUACUCUUCGGCUUGGGGGCGAGGGAGGUCGGCGGUAGUCCCGGGGUAGGGGCGAAAUCCUAUAAUCCCGGGAGGACCACCAGUGGCGAAGGCGGCCGACUAAAACGCGCCCGACGGUGAGGGACGAAAGCUGGGGGAGCGAACGGGAUUAGAUAUGAAGUUGAGUUUUUGCCAGCUUCACUAGAUACCCCGGUAGUCC